CAUAGUGAGCAUGGACAUAAAUUAUACUUGUUAAACAUCAAUAAUUAUUCAAAAUUUACAUUAACAAAUCUAUAUUUGUAAGCAGGCAUAUGAGGGAUUUUAGCUCUAUUCAAAACUGUGUGAAAGAAAAACGAAAAAAACUGCGAGUGCACUCUUUGACCUGUUGACACAUGAAGUGCUGACGUCACUGGUCUGUGAGCACAUCUCGGGGAGUUCGAGAUCAGAUGUAGAAGAAGCAAGACGUACUUUGAUAUACUGCUUAAUAAAAGACCUCACGUGUUCUUUCCCUAAAGUUAAUGGUAAGCUAGGUUUGGUCUAAGUAAUAAUAGGGAAUACUUUUAUGGUGGCAGCGGUGUUUUGAAAUUCUGCAACUUUUGUUGGCAAAUUUUCCUCGAGAAUUUUCCCGCGUUUGAAGUCACAUUUUUUCGUCAAUUUUUGGCCGUUGUUAAUUUUCUUCUGGUCUUACCAGUUGAUUAUUUGAUUCUACGUCGUAGUCUUCAUGGACUGCCACGAACCCGGCCCCUUCGUUUGCUUUUGUUUGUUUUUUGAGGCCUUUUCAGCGUCCUUAGCAACUUUUCGGACGGGAAGAGUAGCCGGACAGAAGACAAACAAGGUCGGUGGUUGUACAAUCAAGUUAAUCUUCUACUCAGGAGCAUUUGAUUUGUAAGCAUGGCCAGUAGUAAAGUGCUUGUAAACUUCUUGUCUGUUGAAGACUUGCAGACAAUUCCAAAUAUUGGCCCAAGGUUAGCAUCUACUAUUGUGGAUUUGCGUGAGCAUUAUGGCAAUCUCACACCAGAAAGUUUGCAGACAAUGCUUCGGCAUAAACUGCCGGACACUGUCAUGCAAGAGUUGGAUUUCACCCCAAACAGAGACUUGGUCGGCAACACCUGCCCACCUCCUCUAGGUGUACAAACAUCCCAUACCACCCCUCUUGUUUCAAAGAUUGAGACAGAGGUUGACGGGUUUGAGACCUUGGUUGCCUCUGCACAAAAGCAGUUGAAUGACAGGAAAAAGGUGAGUGUAUGGAAGACUGGGCAGAUAGGGUACAAGAGUUAGCGGCUGAAGCUUUCCGGUCACUGCCGGAGACCUUCACAAACCAGCAGGCGAUAGACCGCUUCUGUCAAGGCCUGCAAGAUCGAGAAGCUGGUCAUAGCACCUUCAUGCGUAAGUAUACAACCAUUGAAGAGGCCAUGAAUAACAUCAGGUUGUUUCAGCAUUCCAAGAGUGCUAUGGGCAAGAAAAAAUCUAUUAAUAAAGCAGUAGAUUAUGACGAAGAUGUAGCAAAUGUCUACGCCGUUCAGAAUCCUUCUAGAACUGCGUUAGACAUGAGCGUUCUCAAGAGAGAACUACAGAGUCUGCGAGAAGAGGUGAAGCGGCUUGGAGAAGCUAGGCCCACUCAACCGCGUAGCAGACAGCAGCGUUUCAACCGUCCGCGAGGUACGUAUGGCUGUUACAUUUGUGAUAGUAAGUCGCACUUGAUUGCUGAAUGUCCCCACAAGAAGGACUUUAAGGCGUUUGUUUUAAACGCAAAAGGGUCAGGAUAGCGAGCCAAUCCUUGACCCAAGAAUACUCCGGCUCAAACCCAGAACAGCGAAACGAGGUAUGUAGCAAACUUGUUUCUAAUGAGACCGUACCAUCCAAUUCACUACCAGACGCCCCAUCUGCAGUCAUUGUUUCAUUAAAUGAGACCACAAAUGACAUACAGUCAGAACAAGGCAAAACACCUUCUCCUUGUUUGACACCAGGUUCUCUGCCAGCUGAUGGUACAGUACUUGCACCUCCUGUCAAGGUUUGUUUGUUGAAGUCCAUAUCUGCAUAAUCCUGGUCACUGCAAUUCAUAUGUAGCUGGAGUUGCAGUUGAAGAUCUUCCUUGCGGUGGUUGUAAUUAUUGUGUGAGGGCUGACAACCAAUGUGGUUCAUUUUCCCGGAAGGUAGAUGUAGUUCCGGUGGCAGCGCAGAAGGCUGAGGUUGGGGAAGGUCGCGCCUUCGAGAACCCAGCAUCCGGGAGCGCCUGUCAGGGAGUGGGGGCUACAGCCACAUUGGGUAGUACACAACGGGCACAUAGUAUCUCGUGGCCGGAGGGCUCAACGAUACAGAGUGAGAUUGUGCACAGGGGAUCAGCGAGUGCUCAAUACAUUACAGAGCAACAACACCAUGUCUGUGACGACAGUGGCAAGCCGGUGGACAGAGUGGACUCUCCGCAAAUAGCUGUCUCUGAAUUAGCCGUUUCAUCUGAGCCUGAUACUCAGGCUUCUCCGACAACAGCAGAAAGCAGGACAUGGGACCCAGGGGAGAAUGAAGUAUCAAUGACAGCCAACGCUUAUAGUCAGCGGCUGUAAGCAGUAUCCUGAAAUACAGGAUUAGCUGCCUUCCUUUUCUUCUAGGUGGGAGGGGGAAGGUGAAGUAGAUGGGUUUACAAAAGUUAAGCCCAUAACACCUAGUUGCAGUUGGUUACUUCAAGUAUCCUCAACCAGAAGUGCUGGAAGUAAAUAUUUACUGAUGUAGAUAUUUUGGUAGUCGUCAGUGGCUCGUUCAACUUACUGGUUGGACCAGCCCUAGCAGUGAUCUUGUCAGAUACUUUUGACUUGAUCAGCCUUCUACAGACCCCGGUGCCGUCCCAACAAAAGAAACAGGGGGAGAGUGUAGUGCGAGUGCACUCUUUGACCUGUUGACACAUGAAGUGCUGACGUCACUGGUCUGUGAGCACAUCUCGGGGAGUUCGAGAUCAGCUGUAGAAGAAGCAAGACGUACUUUGAUAUACUGCUUAAUAAAAGACCUCACGUGUUCUUUCCGUAAAGUUAAUGGUAAGCUAGGUUUGGUCUAAGUAAUAAUAGGGAAUACUUUAUUCUGAAAAACCAAUCGUGUUUCUAGCAUUUAGAUGCUAUCCUUUUCUAAUUGUAUUUGAACACCUGUUCAAGAUGAAAGUAAAUGAGAUUUAUAUGCUAUUGUAAAUGUUCUAUCCCCGGAAUUGGUGUAAGUAAAUAAUUUGUUAACUAUUACAUCCACAUUUCUUGACAGCACUCUGAAAAAUUCUAAAGGAUGUGUACAUUAGUAUUUAUCAAAGUGAUGCAUGUAUGUGGGUAAGAACCAACUGACGGGUUAGCUGAUAUUAUUGCUGUGAUUAGAGCUCCACACCAAGCAGACUUCUCACUCCCUGGUUAUUUCUAGUAUAAAGAAACAUGGGAGGAAAAAUGCACUCAAUGUGGGGCUCAAAUCCACAACUGAAUAAACAUUAGCAUGACAGCAGAGUGUAACAGGUAGCUGGUUCUUAUCCCGCAAACACACCAUGUACAGUACUUAUUAAGUAUUAAUAAAAAUGAUGUAAAUAUAAUCUUAUUCUAAAUAACCUACUAAAAUUUCAGGAUUUCCAAAUGUCAUUGGUUUGAUAGACGGCACUCAAGUAUGUGUACGAGCCCCUCAUGAGUUUGAAGCCGAUUAUGUAAACAGGAAAGGGUAUCAUUCGAUCAAUGUACAGAUGGUUUGUGAUAAAAAGCUUCGUUUUAUGAAUGUUGUUGCCAAGUGGCCAGGAAGUGUCCACGACUCGAGAAUAUUCAGAGAGUCACGCCUUGCAUCAGAAUAGAGCAAGGCCAACAUAAUGGGUACAUACUGGGAGACAGUGGGUAUGGCUGUAAGCCAUACCUUCUCACACAAUACCUGAAUCCAAGAACAGGACCUCAAGAAAGGUAUAACGAAGCACUGUUUAGAACACGGGUAACAGUGGAGAGGUCUUUUGGAGUGCUGAAAAGACGAUUCCCAUGCUUGUCGUAUGGUCUUCAUUUGGAACCAGAGAUGGCAUGCCAAGUGAUCAUAGCCUGUGUUUUUCUUCAUAACUAUGGUAUUGAACGUAGAGACAUCAUGGCAAACAUGCACGAUGCUACAGACAUUGACCAGCCUCAGGCAGAUGUUAUCCCAGCAAACGAAAAUGGACUUCGAUAUAGAGACAUUGUGGCCCAACGUUAUUUUUAAAAACCUGUAUGGUUUUAUAUUGUUUGCAAUAAUGCAAACUGGUAAACAGCAAGCACCUUCAAAAUUAUUCUUACUAGUGAUUUUAUAUCAUUAGUCGAAUUUUAUAUAUGUUAUGCCCCACUUAGAAGAAGAGGAGUAUAUUGCUUUGCACAUGUCGGUCAGUCUGUCAAUUACUUGAAGUAUGGUCAUCGAACUUGACAUAAAGAUAUGGCCUGACCAGUAGAUGACCCCUAUUGAUUUAGGGUGCCAUUCGGUCAAAGGUCAAGGUAACAGUGGCAAUAAAUUUUAAAGCUUGUCCGAGUAAUUAAUCAACAAUGCCUAGACCUAUGGCCAUCACACUUGACAUGGAGGCUGGGCCUGACCAGUACAAGAUUUAUAUUGAUUUGAGGGGUCAUCAUGACAAAGGUCAUAAUGUUUGACAAACAUCUCUUGUUAAGUUAAAGCUCGUCUCUGUACAUAUGGAGAUGUUAUCAUUCUCACGCUGGUGCCAAUAGCACUAUUUUCUCAUCUAAUUCUUGAUGUAUUACAUUGAAACUUUAAAGCUGCACUCCCACAGAAUGAAUAAGCCAAUUUUGGGGAAAACAGUUAUAUAACACUGCUGACAAAGAGUUUGAUUGAAGAUUUUUAUAUUUAAGUUAAAAAAUAAAUGUUUUAUGCAUUUGUC